GACGAACGCUGGCGGCGUGCCUAAUACAUGCAAGUAGGACGCAGUUGCGAAUGGGUGAGUAACGCGUAGGUAACUGCCUCUUAGAGGGGGAUAACUAUUGGAAACGAUAGCUAAUACCGCCUACUAGUAGAUGGACCUGCGUUGUAUUAGCUAGUAGGUAGUGUAAUGGCCUACAUAGGCGACGAUACAUAGCCGACAGGAGAGGGUGAUCGGACACACUGGGACUGAGACACGGCCCAGACUACUACGGGAGGCAGCAGGAGGGAAUCUUCGGCAAGGGACGAAAGUCUGACCGAGCAACGCCGCGUGAGUGAAGAAGGUUUUCGGAUCGUAAAACUCUGUGGUUAGAGAAGCGUUAUCGAACCAGAAAGCCACGGCUAACUACGUGCCAGCCGCCGCGGUAAUUC
rnacentral:rRNA from 1 species